rnacentral:lncRNA from 1 species
AAGAAAAUCGUGAAUCUCACAGGCGCACGGAAACUCGCCGACCUCCACGGAAGCCUGCGGACGGGAGGGUUCGUGUACCUGAUGACAGGCAACGAUCUUCUAAUACAGAUCUUCCAACGACCGGUUCCAGUGCUACGCCGACAUGGGUGAAAGCACGACGGUGUGUGACGGAGCAUUGAUUAACUUGGUUGUCUCCCCAAGCCACUCCGAAGCAUCGGAGGCACCAAAAAAGCCGCAUUCUGGUAGUGCAGUUGAACAUGCGGAGAAUGCAGUCAAAGGACAGUACAAGGAAUUGUCAACGUACACACUGCCUCCGAUGCCCAUUGACGUUGCUGCACACCUCUGAAAUAUUACAGCAUUAGGCGUGCCUGACAAUCUUCAAAAGAAAAUUGAAUGGAUUGCGUACAAUUCGUCAUCUCAGACAAUUUCUCAUGGUAUAUGUGCCGAAGAAACAAGUACACAAACAUGCGAAAGUGAAUGCCACAAGGAUGCCCCGAAGUCGAUGCAGAAGUGAAAGCAAGAAAGGCAAGCGAAAUGGUGCCACAUGCUGAAAAUCUGGAUUUUCAAGACGGGUAAUCAGCUGCAGGUUUGCAUGCAUAUUUCACUAGAUAAACUGACUCUCCUUUCUUUGUUAUGUGGCUUAGUUGAAACAUUUAGUUACUUCUCUUGAUGUACGUGUUCGUUUCAUUUACAUUCUUUCUUUAACAAAUGCAAACAUGCAAUCCAGCUAUAGCAGCUAUAUCUGCAAAGCUGUCAUCAGAGAUUUUGUAGGUGAUCAAAGAAGCAAAAUAUCAUAUCGCAUCGCCACCUUGAACUUAGAGUGAAACAUUAGUUCAAGAUGUAAUGGUAGAUGCAUUUAUAGACUAGUAAUACGGCAUUCGUACUGUAAUGUGUAUUGAUAUACAUGCUAAGAUGUAGUGAAAGGUGUGUGGCUAUGCUGCUCUGACACUUCAGUUGUUUUAACCCUUCACUGAUGAGUUCUGCAUACAGCAUACCAAAAAAUAUUAAUUUUUCUUGCUGAUUUUUGGCAUUGAGUAAGAAGUUUCUUGUUAAAUGUAUUGAGCCAACACUGAAUGACUGGCAGAAAGUGACAUUUGUCGGUUUAGAGCACGAACACAGGAUGGAAAAAGAAAGACAUGGAACUCGUUUUCUUUGGAAAGCACAGUCAGGGGAGACAGACCAGUGCAAGAUCUGCUGUAGUGACCUCAGACACACAAUGCAAAGAGCUCUCUGUAGAGAUUCCAAACGCAGCCAUAUGUCGCUUGGGGAGAAGCCCACUUCUUCCCCCAUACUACUAAAGGAGUUCCAGCAAAAUAUCCUUUAUUUUCGUUGAUUACGCUUAUUCUCAAUGUCUUUUGCACAUUUAGGUAUAAAAUAAUUUGUUUUCUAUUUAUAUGCGUGGUCAUUAAAGGGUUAAACAAAUAAAGUGGUUCCAAUGAAUGUGAAUGUAUAACUUUAGCGACUUUAGUCGCAAUGUGUUGAUCAUUCCACAAUCUUUGUGAGACCACGAAACAGGAACUAGGCAGAAUGAAAAUCACUCAGCAGUACCAAGAAGGAAGCUUCAGCACUUUAC